UUUACAAAAUGAAUUAAAAUUCAUUUUUGGUCCCGUUGUGUUAUUUUUGGUGUAUAUUUUAUCAAUUUAGUGUUCUUGAAUAUUGUUUUAACUUGUUCACUUUUAAAUCAGAAGAUACAUUUUUGGGCCUUCCUGCUAAAGUUACAGUUUUACUUGAAACUAAUAGUUCAUUUCAUAAUAUUGUGCUUGUGACUAAAUACUUAGUCUGAAGUGAUAACACUGUUAUAAAAUUAACAUAUUACCAAUAUAUCAUAAAAUGGUAAAGAACGAUAUACCAAACAAUCAGACUGACCUCCCCACUAUAGAUGAAUUGGAAGAGGCUGGGGAAAUAGAACAAUUUUUUAUUGAUGAUGACCUAUCUAGUGAUGACAGCGACAGCAUUGAAGACUUGACCUCUGAACCUUCCGAAAGUAAUAUACAAGCGCCAUCAAACAGUGCCGUUCAAUCAGAGAUAUAUUUAAGUCCGACUGAUGUUAUGAGUAAAAUGUGUUAUAUUCAUUAUGGUUCAUUAUAUGAAAGCAUUAUAUACAUUGUGAGUUUACCUUCUGAAGAAGACGACAUCAUUGAUAUAUCCUCACUCUUUGAGGACACAGAUUAAUUGUCUAAAAUGAUUGUAUGCUUUAUAAAUAAAAUUAGUUGCAAUUGAUAUAAAAAGGUUUAUUGCGUUGGAAGCAAUUGAGUCUCAAUUAGAAGAAUAUAAAAUUGAUAUAAUUAGCCCUCAAAGAAGAACAUAAGAACUGUAUUGGAGACUGUUAAAUAUCUUAGAAACUUGCUUACUAGUUGGAACACACAGUGUCUACUCGUAUAGUAAAAAUCGACCUCAAUUUAAUUGUUCAGUCUGAAGUCCAAGUCUGAAGUAUUUUACAGAGGAACCAUAACUAACCUUGUCAGGGAGUUAUGUUAUGCGAUAGCUAAAGGUGCUGUUUUUUUUUGUGAAAAAGAACAUUCGAUUUUUAUUUAAUAUAAUACCUGAACUAAAAAUAUUUAAGAUGGCUACGACGAUAUUGAAAAUUUCUCUACGUAAUGUUUGAACUGAAAGUAUUUUUGGAGCGGAUGUUAAUCAAAAGUGAACGAGACAGAGUGAAGUCUCUUGGAAUUUUUUGCAAAUUCGUAACAAUCCAUAUCAUAAAAUCAAAAACUGAAAUAACGAGUCUUCUAAUGCCAUUCAAGGGAAUAAAAUGUUUAUCUCUAUAAGAAUGAGACUGUUAACUGAAAUGUAUCUCAAAAAUUUCAAAAACCUUAGUUAAUUAUUGUUAAAAUUUGAGUCAUCAUGUCAAAAUCAUUUGUCUAAUUUAUUAUAAUAAAUAUAC